UUGGGCAAAUUGGAUCUUAAGCUUAUGAGAAUUAAAUAAAGCACAAACAAAUAUACUUUAAUAUCUACGGUUCAAUGUUAUACAGAAUUUGUCAAAAUCCAAAAGUUCAAACGCGUGUCGGCAAACUAUAAAUAAAACUAUCAAUGCUCCUAAUAACAUCUUUAUAUUGUGAUAUCAAUCGCUAUUGAUGAAUUUCAUUGCAGCCCCCACACAAAAAUUUCUUUUUGUAUUUUCAGUUAUUAUUUGAUAUUCCACAUCUUUUCGUCGCUUUUGGUGUAUACGAAAAGAUCAAAGCGAGCCGCCGCUAAACACAGCCAGCGACAAUGAGCCCAGAUGAGAGCCAAAGUUUUGGGAUCUCAGGGUCGGGGAUCUGAGGGCUGAGGGCCAAGAGACGACAGACGAGAGAUGAGAGCAGUGGCCCUGUGAGCCAGUUGUAUAAAUUGUACAAAAUGAAAAUCAAAAUCAAACGAAAUUAUAAGUGAAA